UGGCACCUGAUGGACAGCGCUCGAGACAGGGGUUGGGACCCGUCGUAUGGAGGCCGAGAGCCCUGCCUGGCCUUUCCGCGGGCUACAUGGGGUUGUCCGGUUUGCAGACUGGUCAGCCAGCCCUCGCCGUUGAACUUUGCGUGUGUCUGCUGGCCGGAAGCCAGAUCAGACCGGCCUCGCAGCCAGCUCCUCCUCGUUGCUGGGCUUCGAAUGAACAUCUGUCCGUGCUCACCUUCUCAGAGACCCCGACGAGCCAGGCGGACCUCGCCCACGUCAGCCCUCUGGCUCCCAGAUCCCCAGCCGGCCGCGCACAUGCCCAGCCCCCAGUGCACUCGCUUACUCCACGUUUCAGUGGGUGGCGGGACCCGGCCGUGCGUCACCCACGGAAACACCUUUCUAGCCCAGCUCUUCUGACGCGCCCUGGAUUGGCAGCCAGGCCAACUGAACUGUUUCUCACCUGGGUGUAACCACAGUCGUUUCAGACAGCUCCCCCUGCGCCCGGGGACGGCUCCCCCUGUGCCGGGGACGGCUGAGCAGGGAGUCAACACACCCAUGCCGCGCUUCUUUUCGGCUCUAGUGCACCUCGGGACUCUGGACACCCCAUGUGUGGCUGUGGUCCUCAGCCGCCCCUGCCAGGGACUCACGGUGGCUCUCGCCCUGCCAGGCUGGCUCGGGCCAUGUGGGUGUUCCCUUUCACCGCCGGGUGCUGCACUAUGCCCUGCUUGCUGUGGCUGCUGCGUGGACCUGCAGCAGGUGGCUGCUGGAGCUGCUGCGAGAUUGCUCUCAGUGAAGGGGUCGUCCUGCAGCCGGGACGGCAGGAGUCAGCCAGGUCCCGGACCACCUUCCCGACGCCUGUGGGGGGCUCCGAGGAUGUGUGGCCCUCUGGAGCACCAGCCUUCCAUCCAGCUGGGGGGCCGCCACGUGCAAAUGCCUCCGUGGCUGUGACCAGCACUCACCUGGGUGGCUGAACCAGAGAUCGGGGUCAGAGUCAGGGCACAGAGGGCUGGCUCCACCGAGCCCCACCUGGGGAUCUCCUCCUGGCCUUGCUGGCUCCUGAUCCCUGGGCCACGGCUGCACCACUGCAGCCCACCUCGUCAUCACGGCCUCCUCCCCUCUUCCCUGCGUCUCUUCUGCUCCCCCCAAGGAGAGAGCGUGCAUGGGGCACCUGGCCCGGGUCCCCUCACACCAGAACCUCUCCUGGCUCUGGGCGUGCACGCGCUCUCCGGCCAGUCUGCGGCUCCCAACCCUGUGGCCUCGGCACUGCAGUUUGGCUUGGUGGUGGCUGUGUCCCAGGCCAGGCCUGGGUCCCUUCUGUCUAGGCGGUGACAUCCAUCACAUCAGCUCUCUCCUGUCCGACCCCGCUGCCGAGUGAGUUAUCCCUUCCAGUCUGGGGCGAUGAGGCUGAUGGCGUCCACUCCUGGCAGCCCGGAGCAGGUGAGGGCAGGGAGCCCACUUCUCGCCGUGCGGGUCCUCGAGCCUCUGUGCCUCCGUGAACGGACUCGGCAGGAGGGGUGCGCCGUACGGCUGCCUUACAAGUGGCUGUGGG